AUUGAACGCUGGCGGCAGGCCUAACACAUGCAAGUCGAGCGAGCGGCGGACGGGUGAGUAAUGUAUGGGGACUGCCCGAUAGAGGGGGAUAACUACUGGAAACGGUGGCUAAUACCGCAUACUAUCGGAUAACCCAUAUGGGAUUGGCUAGUAGUUGGGGUAAAGGCUAACCUAGGCGACGAUCUCUAGCUGGUCUGAGCGGAUGAUGAGCAACACGGGGACGGAGACACGGCCCGGACUCCUACGGAGGAAGCAGAGGGGAAUAUUGCACAAUGGGCGAAAGCCUGAUGCAGCCAUGCGGGGUGGAUGAAGAAGGCCUUAGGGUUGUAAAGUACUUUGAGCGGGGAGGCGUUACCCGCAGAAGAAGCACCGGCUAACUCCGUGCCAGCAGCCGCGGUAAUAC
rnacentral:rRNA from 1 species